CACCACAUAAUGAGAGUAGCGCACUGGUGAGUAACACGUGGGAACAUACCUUGAAGUGGGGGACAACAGAGGGAAACUUCUGCUAAUACCGCAUAAUCCCUGAGGGGGAAAGAUUUAUCGCUUUAAGAUUGGCCCGCGGAAGAUUAGGUAGUUGGUGGGGUAAAGGCCUACCAAGCCGACGAUCUAUAGCUGGUCUGAGAGGACGAACAGCCACAUUGGAACUGAGACACGGUCCAGACUCCUACGGAAGGCAGCAG
rnacentral:rRNA from 1 species